rnacentral:rRNA from 1 species
GACGAACGCUGACGGUGUGCUUUAGACAUGCAAGUCGAACGCGAAAGCCCUUCGGGGUUAGUAGAGUGGCGAACGGGUGAGUAACACGUGGGCAAUCUGCCCCUCGCAGGGGGACAACCGGAGGAAACUCCGGCUAAUACCCCGUACGCUUGCGGAACCGCAUGGUACCGCAAGGAAAGGUAGCUUCGGCCAUCCGGCGAGGGAUGAGCCCGCGGUGCAUUAGCUAGUUGGUGGGGUAACGGCCCACCAAGGCGACGAUGCAUAGCUGGUCUGAGAGGAUGAUCAGCCACACUGGGACUGAGACACGGCCCAGACUCCUACGGGAGGCAGCAGUCGGGAAUCUUGCGCAAUGGGCGAAAGCCUGACGCAGCAACACCGUGUGAGCGACGAA